GACUUUUAUGUUUUGAGACGGUUGGCAGACCAUCUUCCACAUCCCUCGCACGCGGCGCCACAGAAACUACAGCAACAGAGCAAAGACAUCAAAGGGUGGUGUGAUAUCAACAUGGCUACAAUAAUAUGAGGCUGCAUUUUUUGGCUUUGAUGUCAUUCGAACUACGAUCUGGCGGGUCUUACUAUCUGUAAAGAAGAGUCUGCCGAUGUUUUUAAGACACAAGAAAAAGGAGCUUGACCAGGUGCAGAAGGCAACACUCACCAUCAUUGCUGUUGA